UCACCUAUCAACGACUGAUAUGGCUUAGUGCUCUUCCUGUAAGUUAGUGUAUUAGGUUACUUACUAUCUAGGUUAGCUAACACUAAGUAGUGUCCGUGUGCGCAAAGAGCGCGAGAACGCCAAUUGGAACACAGUCCGUGGCUUUCUGCUUAGCUCACUAGCCACAGUAGCUCACCUAGCGUUAGCUAACAAAGUGAAGUGACAGUGGUGUUUGUGAAGGAGAUACAGGAGGAGAAGCUGGAGGAGGUGGAGCAGGAGAGGCUGAAGGAGAUGGAGGAACAGAGACAGGAGGAGCAGAGACUAGUGGAGGAGGUAGAGCAGGGGAGACCUAUGGAGGACCAAAAAUGACGUCAAGAGUGUGGGUGUCAUCCUUCCAUCUCCCAAAUAUUAAUCGUCUUCGUCCUUCUCUUACUCCUCACACUACAGCUAUUCCUCCUGCUCGUCUUGUUACCCGGCUCUGGAAUUCACUCCCACCCGAUCUCCGUAACAUAGACUCAUUGCCACAUAUCAAAUCCAAACUCAAAACUCAUCUGUUUAAAGUUGCUUAUGAUUUGUGAUUAUUAAUCCUAUUCAUUUUUUUUAACUGUGUAUUUUAUAUUCUGUCCGUUUUAUGUUAAAUCAUGUAAGGUGACCUUGAGUGUCAAGCAAGGCGCCCACAAAUAAAAUGUAUUAUUAUUAUUGUUACUUACUGUAUUCUGUAUUCUUUUACUUAUUGAUUUUUACUUACCCAG